rnacentral:lncRNA from 1 species
UUUGGGCUUUGUUGUCAAGAUCCUGUUUAGUCUUAAGAAAUAUAAAGACUAAUAUUUGUAUCAAUAUACUAAACUUUCCAAUGCUUUGCUUUCCCAAAGUCUUACUUUUGUAGACACCCUUAGAAUGUAUGUGACACUCCUGCCGAGGGCACGGAGAAAGGAGUGCAUUCAUGCAUUCAUGGCAAAGGCGUCUCGAAGGUGCAUUGUUUCCAUUUACUGCCUAUGGGAGGAAUUUAAGACAAAUCUGAUUGUGAUUGGUGGAAUUGCACAGCACAGGAAUUUGGCCCUCUUGGGGAUUACGUAGAAGCAAGAGUAUGAAAAAGACACCAACCAGAGACCUGGCUUUCAUUAUUAAUUUUUUAUAUCCUUGAGUCUUCAGAGGCCUGGCAGCUGAACCCCAGUGAUGUGGAGGGACCAUAGCAGCUUCUGUUUUUCUUUCUGUCUUCCUGAUAUUUGUUCAAAUGACCUUUUUAAUCCUUCUUGCACACAGCUACUUCUAACAAGGCAUACAUCUUAUAAUGAAGAAUCUAGAAUUUUAUUCAAUUUAACUUUAUUUAGGAAAUCCCAGGAGCAGGAAAUGAGGCCAUUUUAUCAUUAAAAGUCAUCACUAACCCCACAUAAGAAGCAAGAUGCAAUUGAAGAAACUGGCCCAACCUCCCAGCAGUUGAGACUCAGGCCAGCUGUUGAUGAGUGGUAUCCUGAAUCAGCCACCCUACUUCCACAUGACUCGACUUGAUAUUAAUGGGAAUGCCCCUUGGAAACAUAUUCCAGUUGUCAGACUUUAUUUGCUUUAUAGUUCUGUUGCAUUUCCAGACAGUUUGUCUAGCACAGAAGCAAAGGAAUGGCAGAGACAUUACAGCUUUCUGAGCUGUCACUUAAGGUCAGUCACUACCCUUAAAGGGGUAAUUAGAAAUCAAAAGUGGAAAAGUAGAUGCCUGGCAGUUGUACCACCCUGGUAAUGUGAGCCCAACUACUAUCAAGAUUCAGGAGCAAAAACUACAUUCUAAGGAGCUGGCAUUAUGGGUAGAAUGAAUUUGUUUGGCCCUAUCAGUGCAAUCUGACUUAGGAGUGAAGGCACGUUUACAAUCACAGAAUAGCUAAGGGAACAAUAAAACAAUGGUACAAACAUCAUCAGACUUAGACUUCACUAGUGGGGGUAGGAGCCCGUUCCAUUUUGGUUUCUGAGUUUUGAGAACAAUGCAUUCAUGUUUAGUGAAGGCAUUGAUUGGCCAUCUACCUGGUGGGAAAUACCCUUGUUGUAUGACUUCAGUAGGUUAGUAUUUCCUGUACUACAAAAUGUCAUUUAGUCCCAAAGUAUUAAGGCUAACCAUAGCUCAAAUCAGGAAGCUCAACAAUUUACAUUAAAUUAUUAUAGUUAAAAAAAAAGCUUGAAAGUUAUUUGUUACCACUAUCAGACACUAUUUGUGAAAUAAAAAAUGAUCUUAUUUCAUCAUGCUUAAUUUGUUUUUAUAGUUGACAUUGGCAUGGCUUUUGAGACCUUCUUAUACUAUCUAAUGCUGAUUUAAACAUUCUCUAUUAAUCUGGAAAGCAAAAAUUCUAAGUGUGAGGUUACUACAUUGCAAAAGGAGGUCUAGCAAGUAUUUUAUAUUGAAGAAGUUAAUCAUGACAGCAGACACAUUUGCUUAGAUUUUGAUCUUCAAGGUACUUUCUUCUCAUUUAAUGAUUAAACAGCUUAACAGAACAGGAGGGCUCUAACUGUAUAUGAUUUUUAUGUCUAGUGACCUUGGGCAGGUGAUAUCUUCAUAUCCAAUCUUCUUUUAAGAUAUUGCAACCCUGAGGGGUAUUGGUAGGUAUGUUGUAUGAUUCAAACUGAAUCAGCUAUUACUGGUGUAAGAGAUCAUCAGUAAAUUCCGGUAAUUAUCACCUUCUGUAAAAGGGAUGGGUAAUGUUCAAGAAACACCUUGGAAGGGUGAACCAGGGAAUAUACAGAACAAAAUGUUCUUUAGGACCCUAAUGCCCUAAAAAGAUGUUAACUACAGCUUAUUUUUCUUUAUGUGAUAUCAUAAGAAAGAUACAGGGGCUGUUAGCACAUUAGAAAGUGCGUAAGAUUAUGUUUUUAUAAUAGGGAUGCAGGCAUUCCAAAAAACUGAAUAAAAAUACAUGCAUCUCUCUUGCCUCUUACUGAAGUAUUAAUCUAAUUUUAUAAUAAUGCUUACUUUUUAAUAUUAAGGCUAUGUAAAAAAAAACAUUUUAUUUCUAAGAUUUCAGUAGAGUACAGGUGGUGCAUUUUUUAAGCCUUUCCACUUCUCUUCACCAGCCCCGCCCACUCAUUACAUCCACUAUACCAUAGAUCACAGUUAACAGGUACACUUCUGAUUUUGUUGAGUUGAUUCAAGCUUUGUAUUUAUUCAGUGUAACUUUUAGUAGAUAAUAAUAAUGGGAGGUAUUUGCUAUUAGAAUUAAGAUUAUACAUUCCUCAUUUUACCGUACAUUUACAUUUUUUAAGGCACAUAAUAUAUGUUGUUGAUAGGCAUCCUAGAAGUAGUUCAUGAGUGGUGUUGCACAACACUUAGGACUGGAUUAUGGACCAGUUGUUCAUUUUCUAGGAAGUCUGUAUUCUUAUUCUCACCUGAGCCUCCGCCUCUUGUGUUGUAUUUUUUAUGAUUAUGAAAUGCUUUGACGGAAAGAUAUUUUAAUGUGUACAAUUUGUUUUAUUUUCAUACUGAUCUCUAUUUUUGUUUAAAACCAUGUUACAUCAUGAAAUCACUUAAUCAAAAAUAAAUCUUUU